AUGCGCGCGCGUGUGUGGGAGGGGGGUGGGGUAGAAUUAGAUUUGUUAAAAAAGCAGCUCUUUUCCAUUCCAGUCACAACUAAAGUUCAAACAAAACUCUUAGCUUCCUGGAAGAAGCCUGGAGGUGUUAAGGGACAGCUUCGCUUAAUCUUUCUCUUCUUCCUAAGCCAUGUGAAGACCUUGCCUGAUUUCCCUUUGCCCUCCAGCAUGAUUGCAAUUAAUGGCCACCACAGCUGCCCUCUCCACCUCCACCACCGCAACUGCCACAUAUUGGUGCUUUCAAUGGGCCAUGCCCUGUGCUAUGCAUUGUGAAGUUGAUCUCUUCAAAUCCUCACAACUAUGCUUUGAGGUAAGUAUUAUCAAUAUUAUUUCCAUCUUACAAAUGAGA
rnacentral:lncRNA from 1 species